ACGCUCGACACCUACGGGAAGCAGCAGUGGGGAAUAUUGCACAAUGGGGGAAACCCUGAUGCAGCGACGCCGCGUGGAGGAAGAAGGUCUUCGGAUUGUAAACUCCUGUCCCAGGGGACGAUAAUGACGGUACCCUGGGAGGAAGCACCGGCUAACUACGUGCCAGCAGCCGCGGUAAUCUGAGCGGGCUGGCAAGGC
rnacentral:rRNA from 1 species